AUUGAACGCUGGCGGCAGGCUUAACACAUGCAAGUCGAGCGGGGUGAUGGUGCUUGCACUAUCACUUAGCGGCGGACGGGUGAGUAAUGCUUAGGAAUCUGCCUAUUAGUGGGGGACAACAUCUCGAAAGGGAUGCUAAUACCGCAUACGUCCUACGGGAGAAAGCAGGGGAUCACUUGUGACCUUGCGCUAAUAGAUGAUCCUAAGUCGGAUUAGCUAGUUGGUGGGGUAAAGGCCUACCAAGGCGACGAUCUGUAGCGGGUCUGAGAGGAUGAUCCGCCACACUGGGACUGAGACACGGCCCAGACUCCUACGGGAGGCAGCAGUGGGGAAUAUUGGACAAUGGGGGGAACCCUGAUCCAGCCAUGCCGCGUGUGUGAAGAAGGCCUUAUGGUUGUAAUGCACUUUAAGCGAGGAGGAGGCUCUUUUGGUUAAUACCCAAGAUGAGUGGACGUUACUCGCAGAAUAAGCACCGGCUAACUCUGUGCCAGCAGCCGCGGUAA
rnacentral:rRNA from 1 species